rnacentral:rRNA from 1 species
AGGCCCGUCUCGCCCGCACCGUCGGGGAGGUGGAGCGUGAGCGCGUGCGAUAGGACCCGAAAGAUGGUGAACUAUGC